AUUGAACGCUGGCGGCAUGCCUUACACAUGCAAGUCGAACGGUAACAGGUUAAGCUGACGAGUGGCGAACGGGUGAGUAAUGUAUCGGAACGUGCCCAGUCGUGGGGGAUAACUGCGCGAAAGAGCAGCUAAUACCGCAUACGACCUGAGGGUGAAAGCGGGGGAUCGCAAGACCUCGCGCGAUUGGAGCGGCCGAUAUCAGAUUAGGUAGUUGGUGAGGAAAAGGCUCACCAAGCCGACGAUCUGUAGCUGGUCUGAGAGGGCGACCAGCCACACUGCGACUGAGACACGGCCCAGACUCCUACGGGAGGCAGCAGUGGGGAAUUUUGGACAAUGGGCGCAAGCCUGAUCCAGCCAUGCCGCGUGCGGGAAGAAGGCCUUCGGGUUGUAAACCGCUUUUGUCAGGGAAGAAAAGGUUCUGGCUAAUACCUGGGACUCAUGACGGUACCUGAAGAAUAAGCGCCGGCUAACUACGUGCCAGCAGCCGCCGUAAUAC
rnacentral:rRNA from 1 species